GAGAGGGGUGUGCACUGUCAGAGGCAGCAGUACACCAGUGAAAUGAGGAGCACUAUCUCCCUACCAGCACAUUUCCACUGAGUGAGAGAGAGAGAGAAUAAGGGAAGGAGAAAUAAGGAGAAAGAUUGACAAAAAGAGUGUGAUCAUUUGUGUACAGCUGCAACCUCAACCCCAGCUUUGUCAUCACUGUGAACCUCAGUAAAGACAGCCCAACCAUGGAUCAGAAAAUCAAUGAAUGCCCCACCACCACCUCCCCCCAGAAGCAGAUGAAGAGUAGGUCCAAAUCCACCGAUGAGAUCCAGCACACCAAGAGGCUCUCAUCACAGAAAUCCCUUCCCGGUGGGCCGGACCUGGACAAAGUCAAGGAAGGCCCAGAAGGUUCUGAGACUCCCUCGUCCUCCACAGAGGAGCUGAAGUGAUGACGGCUGGGGUCCCUAAGGGAAAUAAGGCCAUGAACCUUCCAUCUGCUCAUUAAACAUGAACACAUACUGUACACACACAUAGACUCACAUACACACACACACAGUCACAUACCUACACACACUUAUACGUUUGUUUAAAUGCAAACACUGAAUUGAUAAACUGAGUUGGUGGAAAGUCAUGUGAUCAGUCAGAGAGAAACACACACGCACACACCAACAAGAUCUCACGAUUUAACCAAUUUGACUUCAGAUUCUGACGUUUACCCACGUUUCUCCAAGCAUAACAUUUAGACGCUGCGCCAAACGUCAAAUUUCGAAGUGUUUUUGACACCAUGUGUUGACUCCUGUUCAGCAUCACAUUUAAGGUAAGGGUUAACAUUUUGGAUAGGGUGAAGAUAUUAAGGUUAGACAUUAAUUCUGAAUGGUUAAGUUAAGGGUUAGGAUUUGGGAUAGGUUGAAAACAAAACAUUUAAAAUGUGUUUCUACCACUGGGAGAUAACAUGUGGCAUUCGGAUUCAGAGUCAUGGGAUUAUGUCCAUUAUGUCUCAUGGGAUUAUGUCCGCACCGCUGUAGCAAAACCCAAGCCUACAUGUUAGUAAUUAGUGCUCAUUUUGAAGUCAAUCUGGAGCGAUCUGCCUACACACACACACACACACACACACACACACACACACACACACACACACACACACACACACACACACACACACACACACA